CAGCAGCCGCGGGAACACGUAGGGUGCAAGCGUUAAUCGGAAUUACUGGGCGUAAAGCGUGCGCAGGCGGUUAUAUAAGACAGAUGUGAAAUCCCCGGGCUCAACCUGGGAACUGCAUUUGUGACUGUAUAGCUAGAGUACGGCAGAGGGGGAUGGAAUUCCGCGUGUAGCAGUGAAAUGCGUAGAUAUGCGGAGGAACACCGAUGGCGAAGGCAAUCCCCUGGGCCUGUACUGACGCUCAUGCACGAAAGCGUGGGAGCAAACAGGAUUAGAUACCCGCGUAGUCCCUGUCCCUUAUCCC
rnacentral:rRNA from 1 species